AUUCAAUCGGCCAGGGGGACACUUUAGAAAAUGGCAAAAAUCGAAAUUUUCUAACACUUUUGUAAGGGGAAGAAAAUUUAUAAGUAUCGAUUUAAUCAAAAUUCAACCGGCCAGGGGGACACUUUAGAAAAAGGGCUUUCACAAAAUUUUCCGACAACUUAGUAGUCGACGGAGAAUUUAUCAGUUAUCUGUUGAAGUGCAAAGUUAUAUUUAUAAUCUUCAAGAAGUUAUAUCAUUUCAAAGAAAUUCAACAAUUUAAAUAUCGUUACAGAUUGCUUCCAAUUUUAUGUCAGAAUAAUGUUAAUGGAGCGACCCGUAUCGGUUCCGCUCCUUAGGUAAGGAAAGAAAAUAGAAAUUAGGGAGCGACCCUUCAGAUAGGUACCGCUCGACAGAACAAGGUUCAGGAAGGACAAUGUUGUUGGCGUCACUUCAAAGAGUACCUAGCCCUUAAUGGUCUAAAAGGUUUUAGUUUUAGGAAAAAAAACGUUGGGCGUCACUUCAAAGAGUACCUAGCCCUCAAUGGUCUAAAAGGUUUCGGUUAAGAAAGCGUUGGGCGUCACUUCAAAGAGUACCUAGCCCUCAAUGGUCUAAAAGGAUUCAGUUUUAGGAAAGAAAGAGUUUGGCGUCACUUCAAAGAGUACCUAGCCCUUAAUGGUCUAAAAGGUUUCGGU